UCUGUUUAUCUAUAUCGUUCAGACGGCAUUACAAAUCUAGAAAAAUAUUAUGUAAAAUUAAAUAAAAUAGAUCGAGGACAAAUCUAAAACAAUAGAGAGUUAGGGAAUGGCAUUGAGAAUAAAGUAAACUCUUUCUUUUUUACAACUAGAAUAAAAUAAAGUUAAAGGAUAGAAUCAUAUAUGUUCGGUGGAAGGAUUAAACAUUUGUCUCCGCAACAGAGAUUAGGUGCAAAUCUCGUACGUAGUCAAACGAUGGAGCUCGGCAUCAAGGGUUGAACAUGCAAGCACUUUGAUGCCCUAAGUCAUUCUCAGAUUUAGAAUACUGAGUUAUGGGAUUGGAUCAGUUGAUUCAUACUUGCAGCAGGAAACACUGCCUUUUAUAUCUCUAUUUAGGGGGAAAAAUUAGUUAAGAUAAAAUGACAUGUUGGACAAGUAACUUCAACAACUUAAGACGGGAUGAAUUAAAUUUCAAAAUUUUUCACUAACAAACUUUUAA
rnacentral:lncRNA from 1 species